rnacentral:rRNA from 1 species
GAUGAACGCUGGCGGCGUGCCUAAUACAUGCAAGUCGAGCGAACAGACGAGGAGCUUGCUCCUCUGACGUUAGCGGCGGACGGGUGAGUAACACGUGGAUAACCUACCUAUAAGACUUGGAUAACUUCGGGAAACCGGAGCUAAUACUGGAUAAUAUAUUGAACCGCAUGGUUCAAUAGUGAAAGGCGGUUUUGCUGUCACUUAUAGAUGGAUCCGCGCCGCAUUAGCUAGUUGGUAAGGUAACGGCUUACCAAGGCAACGAUGCGUAGCCGACCUGAGAGGAUGAUCGGCCACACUGGAACUGAGACACGGUCCAGACUCCUACGGGAGGCAGCAGUGGGGAAUCUUGCGCAAUGGGCGAAAGCCUGACGGAGCCACGCCGCGUGAGUGAUGAAGGUCUUCGGAUCGUAAAACUCUGUUAUUAGGGAAGAACAGAUGUGUAAGUAACUAUGCACGUCUUGACGGUACCUAAUCAGAAAGCCACGGCUAACUACGUG